GACCCCUUAGUUCAGUGGUAGAGCGUCGCAUUCCAGUCGCGAAGGUCGUCCGUUCAAUCCGGGCAGGGGUCA